UACAAGAGAACUGUAGCACCGAAGACUACAUGUACAUCGAUUUGAAUAAUCUGUAUCCUCAAAAGGCAAAUCAAAUACAGAAAAUGCAUAUAAUUUGGAAAAGAGACCACCAAUCCACUGGGGGGUAUCGCAUGAAAGCAAUGGUAUUACAGAAUAUUGUAAAGCUGGAUGAGUUAUAGUGAAACAGGUAUAUGUCUGCUCAUCUGGCAAUCUUUGGACAUCACUGGAUGGUACUUCCAGCAUGAAGACCAGCUAGUUGCCUCACCUGUCUUGACAUUGUUAAAGUACUUUGAGACAGUGAAAAGACAUUACUGCAUCAGAGAUCUAUCCAGGUUAUAAAUCUGAGGAAAACAAUAAAGCAUCAUUUGGAGCUACUUAUAUCACUGCCUUAACGAGUUGUCUGCAGACGGGGCAUCCUUAAAAACUUCAGUCGCACUCGUCACUUAGAAUAGAAAACUUCAUAAUUUUAUAACUUUUGUAUCAAUCCUUUUGCACUUCAUCUGACUUGGAAUUUCAGUAGCCUUUACAUGUAACAUCCUUCAAGCAUUUCAUGAAGUACCAACUUGCAGGUGUAAAAUGUUUGUCCCAAAUGAAACAAAAACAAAAAUUCUCUGGCAGUUAGCAGUGUCCUGAGCAGUUGAUUGAUGUCACAGUUCCACCGGCAUAGUAUUUGUAGUUGAAUGGUGCCAUUUUUAAGAAAACUUUUCACAAAAACCUGGAAAACAUCAGAUGGAAAGGAGCAUCUACAAGAAAAACAGUGAACACUUUCUUGAAUAUUAACAAUGAUAUGUCAUGCCCCAUUUACAUCCUUUAUAUAAACUAAUUAACCAAAUCAUAGAGAAUUAUAUACAAAUUUGUCCUUUUGUGUAUUUAU